GUCGCGGCGGCUACGCCCACCUGGACCCAGUUUACCCUGUACUGUGCUGCAAAAUAUUACUUUCUCCCCAUCUGGAAUUCUUCCCUUCCUCCUUCCUGCCGCAGUGGUGUACUGAGCACUUUCACGUAAGAGUAUUCCUCCACUCGAACAACCCCCCGGAGAAGUACUGGUGUCACUGCCACCUGCGAGAGUUUGCGGCUACCUCCCCAAGAGGCAGUCCCAGGGUUAUUGUGACCUAUGAUGUUUAUUCAACUACUGUUGACGGGCUGCUGUGCACAGGGAACCUAGUAGGCAAGACCCCUGCCAUCGUGCAGCUUACUGUCAGGUUGACACAGACCUUAAGGUAAACGGAAAAAGUAUCAGGAAAAAAACAGGGUGCUUGGGACUUAGGAGAUGUUAAGAUCGCUUGGAGGACCCUAAUUUAAAUAAGAUAAAGUAGGUUUUCUCCGAGUAGGUUAACUGAAAAUGAACCUGUGUCUCUGGUUGCUGUUUUGUAGAAAGAACAAAAUUUUAAAUAAAUUAAAAACGACACCUGUAAUUUGAGAAGAUGCUUGAUAUCAGAAGAGGAGAAGAGUGGAGAGGGGUGGAGUGGCAAAGGAGAGCCUCCAAACCAAAAGCCUGCGGCAGAGGCCCUAGGAGGCAAGCACUUAACCAUGUUUCAGGACUAGAAACGAAACAUGUGACAAGACCUUUAAAAACAAAUAGAAUGGGAUGGAAUAAAGUUGGAUGAGUAAGCAGGCAUCAAAUCAUUCAGAAACUUGUUGUCCAAGUUGAAGAAUUUGUUUAGUAUUGUAUAAUAAAUGCAGAGGAAGCUAUAUACACUUAUAAUUUACAUUUUUUAAAGGCCACGUUGUAGCUCAAUCGGAUAGUUUGUCUUUUGAUGGGAUGUAGUAUACAGUAUCAUCAUGGUAUAUUCCAGGCAAAAAUAUUUAACUUGAAUCUGUCAAGCCUUUGCAUCUAACACAGUUUAUAAAAAAUACAACAGAUAGAUGAACAAACUAAAUGAUGCCAGAGGAAGUAACUAGACAGAUCCAGAAGGUGAAACAUUCUGCAGGAUAACUGGCCCAUCUCUUCAACAAUUUGUCAUGAUAAAAGCAACUGCUUUAUGAAAAGAAAUUUAAGGGACAUAACAGUUUGAAUUGGAUCCUGGUUUGAACAGACUGUCUAUAAAAUGCAUUUUCAGGACCAUUAAAGAAAUAUGAAUGUAGAUGGACUGAGUAUUGGAUAAAAUAGAACUGUAUUGCCAUGGAAAAGAUCAUUAACUGAAAAGAGCAAGUCACGAAAUAGUAUGUUACAGCAUCUCAUUUUGGUUUAAAAAUGCACAUAUAUGUAUUUAUGUACAACUAAAAAAAUAGUGGGCUUAUACCCUAA
rnacentral:lncRNA from 1 species